rnacentral:rRNA from 1 species
GACAGAGGUCCCGAGCGUUAGGCGGAAUCACUGGGCGUUAAAGCGUGUGUAGGCGGCGGCCUAAGUACCUUGUGAAAUCCCACGGCUCACCCGUGGAACUGCUCGGUAUACUGGGUCGGCUUGAGCCACUUAGGGGCUACCGGAACAAAUGGUGGAGCGGUGAAAUGCGUAGAUAUCAUUGGAACGCCAAUGGUGAAAACAGGUAGCUGGGAGUGUGCUGACGCUGAGACACGAAAGCCAGGGAGCAAACGGG